GCGUCGUAGAUGAACAUGUCGUACUGCACGUGACUAAAAUCCAGCCCGGGACUUCAAAAUUUUAGGGAAAAAAAUAAGCGGUCUAUAUCAAAAAAAUUAAAACCUCAUUUUUGGCUUUUCGCCCUCUCUCUAUAUUGUUGUACUCUCUCUAUAUCAAAAAAUUAAAAUAAGCCCUAACCCUAGAAGAAACCAGAGAAGAUGAAGUGUUGUACUCUCCGACAACCUUUGCAGCAAGUACAAUGUCCGAUUAAUGCCCGUGCUUAAAGCCGACGAGGUCCAGGUUGUUCUUGUUCAAUUACUUUUGAUUCAGUUGCAAUGGAUUCAACACUCGUUUUCGGCUUUUCGCCCUCUCUCUCUCUCCUCUUCUUCAACCUCCGCCUUCUGCAAUCUAUGUCGUCGUCGUACUGAAAUAUAGGGCUUCUUUCUCCGGCGAUGGCGUUUGAGUAGGCUGUUAUGUUCAGUUUGAUCUUUAGAUAAAGCUGCUGUUUGUCAAACUUUUAAUUAGGGUCGCUGUUCGUUUUUUAUUUUUAUUUAAUUUUUUCAUUUUUUGAAGUUGAUUUUUAAUUGAUUUUUUUGUUUGUUUUCGUAGUUUUAGGGUUUGUUGUGUAUUGUUGAUAUUGAUAGCUAUUUCGAUCAAUGAAAAGGAUAAAUUUGGGCGGAAAUUAGCUAGGUAAAUUGUUGAUUUUAGCUUCAAUUUGAGAUUCGAGAUUUUCAGCUGAAAAUGUUAUGGAAACAGCUGGUUUUUAAUUGUUCUGUAAAUUGUGCACAAGGCAUAUUAUUAGGAUCCGACCUCAAAUCAGGACACCGACACACACAUUGUCCUUGAUUUUUAUGUUUUUCCCUUGUAUUAUUUGUUUCAGAUUUCUCAUUGGCGUGAUCACGAGCAAGAAUGUGAAAGGUUAGAGGAACAGAUGAGAGAUGCUGAUGUACUGAACACAUAUCCUUUUACUUUUUGUGAGGAAGCUACACUUCAGGUCGACCAAUUGUUAGAACCUUCCAAGCACGUUGGUCCCAUGUUGUGGUUUUCUACACCCCGUUUUUGAGGCAUAUAUGGGCAUGGUUGGGUCUUUCUCCAGCAACUAGCAAGAAUUUUAAAGCUUGCCUUUCUUCAGGUUAUAGUUGCAUCAUAGUGCCAGGUGGAGUUCAGGAGACGUUUCAUAUGGAACAUGGCUCUGAGAAAAAUGGAACAAACAGGACUGGAAGCACUGCUUCCACCAGAAUUUUUCAAUAUCCCUCAGUUGCAUACUGUGUGAGUUUGGAUUCAAUUUUCUGAGAUAAAUAGUUAGCAGCGUUAUAUAACGCAAGGACUAGCGUUACAUGAUGCGAAAGCUAAAGUUGAAGAGUUGAGCUUCAUAAACCCUUCUAAGUCCCAGCAGGGAUGAAGCCUUUGAGCUGACCAUGCAUGGUGGAGAGAUCCCUGAUCUUCCUACAGGUUACGGACUUGGGGUUUGAAAGAGCGACAUUUACGGGGUGCAUGCUUUGCUAAGGAAGGACGGGUCUAGAAAAAUUCAACAAAGGACUGUGGUAAUAAAUGGUAAUGUGAAAGAAGAAAUGUCCGCUUUGCACAAAAAAAUGAAGUACUUGAGAAGGAAAAUGAAAAGCUAAAAGACCAAGUACAAGAGAAUAAUAUUUUUCUUAAAACCCUUAUCAGACAGUUUUCUCAAAUUGUUAGUGGAGUUAAUGAUGGAAAGGGUUCAACAGAUCUUCUAAACUAUGCCAAAUCAGUCUUGGGAGUGACAAACCAACAGGGGGAAAUGACGCUCAGUUGAUAUGCAUUUGUUUAAAUGUCCGAACAUUGUAAGCUGUUCUCUCACCUUAGAAGUUUCUAUGUGUAAUGUAGUAUAUAAUUCAAACAUUUCCCUUUGUUCUAUAUAUAUAGUUGCAAUGCAAUAUGUGAAAUAUAGAGUAGUGGAUUUGACAGAUGUCUUCAUUUUCCUAUAGUAUUCUUAUAGGAAUAUUCUUAUAGUUGAGUUCAAUUCCUAGAUAAUCAUUAAAAGUAGAUGAGAAGGGUGAUAUUUACAUCUACUAGGUGGUUCUAUUGGAGCAGUACUAUUAUAUCUAUUUUGCAAGUAUUAUCUUGUUUAACUUCGAUACAAGAAACAUUACACAAAUUAUAAUGUCAAUAGUAAAAAAUUAAAUAAACCCAAAUGCUAAGUUGGCUGGAUAAAUACUGCUAUGCUUAAUUUCUAUGUACGUCUUAGCUUUUGUCUGCCACUUGAUGAUGCUCAUGACUUUUGUGUGCAAGCAGGUGAGGGGUGUUAAGCCAGGGAGAGUGCAUGUGUGAAGCCAGGGAUGGGGGCAGUCAGGGAUGGGAUAAAAGUGCAGUUUGGGGAUGAGUUAAGUGUGCAAGCAGGGGAAAGGUGUGUAGGUAAAGGUGUGUAGGUAGGGAGAGGGCAGGUGUGCCACAAGGGGUGGGGGCAGUGUGCAGGCAGGCAAUGAGGUAGUGUGCAAGCAGGGUAGGGGGGCAGGUGUGUAGGCAGGGAGAGGGAAGGUUUGCAUUCAGAGAGAGGGAGGUUGGUUGUGAAAAUUCAGUUGGAUUUUUAAUUUCUUUUUAAAAGGAGUGGUAUCUGUGUGGUUUCAUUUGUAAUAUAUAUGACUAUUUGUAUUAUAUUAUAUAAUUAUUAAUUUUUUUUAA